GCCCCCGUAGCUCAGUGGAUAGAGCAACGGUUUCCUAAACCGCAGGUCGCAUGUUCGAUUCAUGCCGGGGGCGCCA
rnacentral:tRNA from 2 species